rnacentral:rRNA from 1 species
GCCUCAGUACGGCGAGUGAAGCGGCAACAGCUCAAAUUUGAAAUCUGGCCCCCUCGGGGUCCGAGUUGUAAUUUGGAGAAGAUGCUUCGGGUGCGGCCCCGGUCUAAGUUCCUUGGAACAGGACGUCACAGAGGGUGAGAAUCCCGUACGUGCCCGGUGGUCGCCCCCAUGUGAAGCUCUUUCGACGAGUCGAGUUGUUUGGGAAUGCAGCUCUAAAUGGGUGGUAUAUUUCAUCUAAAGCUAAAUAUUGGCCAGAGACCGAUAGCGCACAAGUAGAGUGAUCGAAAGAUGAAAAGCACUUUGGAAAGAGAGUUAAACAGUACGUGAAAUUGUUGAAAGGGAAGCGCUUGCAACCAGACUUGCGCGCGGCCGAUCAUCCGGUGUUCGCACCGGUGCACUCGACCGCGCGCAGGCCAGCAUCGGUUUGGGUGGCUGGACAAAAGGCCUCGGGAAUGUGGCUCCCCUCGGGGAGUGUUAUAGCCCGAGGG